GCAUUAGUGGUAUAGUGGUGAGCAUAGCUCCCUUCCAAGCAGUUGACCCAAUUUAGAUUCCUGGCCAAUGCA
rnacentral:tRNA from 1 species